GGCCGAUUGUGCGACUUACUUAGCAAAAAAAUUCACUUUACCAAUCUACACCCUCACUCCGUUCGUCGCCGACGCCGUUGCUCGCCGCAUCUGUGAGACUCCAUCGCCAUCGCCAUCGCCUUAACAAGUCCCAAGUCCCAAGUCCCAAAUCGAAGCUGCUCUCUGCCUCUCCGGCCUCCGCCAGUCCGCCGCGCUGUACGUCUCCUGUCGGCUGUGUCCUGCCGUGCUGGUUCAUCGCUGGCGAGUGUCGAAGACGAAGCACCAAGAUCUCACUAGUUCAUCGCUGGUUCAUCACUGCUCAUCUCUGGCUCACUUAGGUGCUAAGUGUGGCCCAGACAACUGAUUAUCUUUGAAUUUGGUAUAUUCGUCUCCGGCACUUCAAACGCACUUGGAAACUAGAAGUUUAUUAUAGAUCUAGCUUAGUAUAUCAAGUUAAUUUAGUUAACAAUUGUUGUAGUGGGUAGUGCCUUGAAAAUCUUGUCCAAAAUGACUCAUCCUUAGUGGAUCAUAGACCACUCUUUAUAUCUUAGCUGCUACCUUUAUUCAACAGAUUUGUGGUGGAUUCAGUAACAUGCUCUAGGUCUCAAAUCUUUGCUAGCAGUAUAUGAAUUAUGAUUCAAUGCAUAUGCAUCACAGACACCUAAAUCAGUUUUGUCCUAUUGUUGAUCACCUUCUGGGCAUAUGUAAAUGGCAUCUUGUUCUGA